GACGAACGCUGGCGGCGUGCUUAACACAUGCAAGUCGAACGGUGAAGCGCCUUCCUUUUUGGUGGGUGUGGAUGAGUGGCGAACGGGUGAGUAACACGUGAGUAACCUGCCCCCUUCUUCUGGAUAACCGCAUGAAAGUGUGGCUAAUACGGGAUAUUCUGGGUCUGUCGCAUGAUGGGUCUGGGAAAGAUAUUGUUUCGGUGGUGGAUGGGCUCGCGGCCUAUCAGCUUGUUGGUGGGGUGAUGGCCUACCAAGGCGGUGACGGGUAGCCGGCCUGGGAGGGUGGACGGUCACACUGGGACUGAGACACGGCCCAGACUCCUACGGGAGGCAGCAGUGGGGAAUAUGGCACAAUGGGCGCAAGCCUGAUGCAGCGACGCCGCGUGAGGGAUGGAGGCCUUCGGGUUGUGAACCUCUUUCGCCAGUGAAGCAGGCCUGCCUCGUUUGUGGGUGGGUUGACGGUAGCUGGAGAAGAAGCGCCGGCUAACUACGUG
rnacentral:rRNA from 1 species